GCUUUCUUGAUGGAAUGGUAUACAUGCUAGACUUAAAAUUUGGUAACAUUAUUGUUGUGGGAGUUCGAGUCUCCUAGAAAGCA
rnacentral:tRNA from 1 species